UACGUAGGGGCUAGCGUUAUCCGGAUUUACUGGGCGUAAAGGGUGCGUAGGUGGUUUCUUAAGUCAGAGGUGAAAGGCUACGGCUCAACCGUAGUAAGCCUUUGAAACUGGGGAACUUGAGUGCAGGAGAGGAGAGUGGAAUUCCUAGUGUAGCGGUGAAAUGCGUAGAUAUUAUGAGGAACACCAGUUGCGAAGGCGGCUCUCUGGACUGUAACUGACACUGAGGCACGAAAGCGUGGGGAGCAAACAGGAUUAGAUACCCUGGUAGUCCCUGA
rnacentral:rRNA from 1 species